rnacentral:sRNA from 1 species
AAGAAUGCCGGUAUUGCCGGUCGUGUCGAACAGGACGGUGUCGGUGUUGAGGCUGUAGUCAACCUUCUUCACAGAUACGGCGCCGCUCGAG